rnacentral:rRNA from 1 species
GGGAAACUGCCUGAUGGAGGGGGAUAACUACUGGAAACGGUAGCUAAUACCGCAUAACGUCGCAAGACCAAAGAGGGGGACCUUCGGGCCUCUUGCCAUCAGAUGUGCCCAGAUGGGAUUAGCUAGUAGGUGGGGUAACGGCUCACCUAGGCGACGAUCCCUAGCUGGUCUGAGAGGAUGACCAGCCACACUGGAACUGAGACACGGUCCAGACUCCUACGGGAGGCAGCAGUGGGGAAUAUUGCACAAUGGGCGCAAGCCUGAUGCAGCCAUGCCGCGUGUAUGAAGAAGGCCUUCGGGUUGUAAAGUACUUUCAGCGGGGAGGAAGGUGUUGAGGUUAAUAACCUCAGCAAUUGACGUUACCCGCAGAAGAAGCACCGGCUAACUCCGUGCCAGCAGCCGCGGUAAUACGGAGGGUGCAAGCGUUAAUCGGAAUUACUGGGCGUAAAGCGCACGCAGGCGGUCUGUCAAGUCGGAUGUGAAAUCCCCGGGCUCAACCUGGGAACUACAUUCGAAACUGGCAGGCUAGAGUCUUGUAGAGGGGGGUAGAAUUCCAGGU